ACACAUAAAUGAAGUCAAAUGAACUCUUCCUUCAACUGAUUAAACCCUUCUUCGAGAAUACACAGAAGUGAGUUUGAUGAGCAGUGGCACGAUCUCCGAUGGCGAACGAACUGCUAAUUUUGUUUCUAGGAACAAUACUGUUCCUGUGUGUGGAAUCAAAGUACAUAGCGUAUAACACCUCGCAGGGCGUGGUGCCUGGGAAGCUCAACGUUCAUCUCGUUGCUCAUACACACGACGAUGUUGGUUAGUUGAAUACCGUUGAUCAGUACUAUGUUGGUUCUAACAAUUCAAUUCAGGUACUUCUAUUUUUUUUUAUUUUUUUUUUCCAGUGAACUUUUGAAGAAUGUGUCUGUUGAUUGAAACUGAUUUCGCAACAAAAGGAAAGGGAAAAAGAGAUCGAAUGAUUGAUUCACCAUUGCGAGCGUUAAGGAAAAAAAGUUUAUUUCAAUUCCGAAGCGAAACCUAGCGUCUCCUGAUAACACUCUAUCCCUUUAAUCCAUUCUUUUGAACUGGUACCUUAGCUAGUUGAGCGAUUUCUACAAGCUGAACAAUUUGAGAAAGUGAAGUAUCUGAUCCAACAUGUGUAGCUUUAAUCAGGGGCUUGUGUGCAAAAUGUGUUGGAUUCUGUUGUUCAAGCUCUUUUGGCUGAUAAGAAUCGAAAGUUUAUCUACGUUGAGCAAGCCUUUUUCCAGAGAUGGUGGAGAGAUCAGAAUGAGGCUGCUCAGGAUAGUGUAAAGAAACUCAUUAGUUCGGGUCAACCAGAAUUCAUGUAAAUUCCAUUUCUGAUGCAAAAUUUCGUUAGUUGAGGAAGUGUGACUCGCAUUGAAAACUGAAAUAUACACCUCUCGUCAUUUGUACGGUUGUCUCAUAUUGGAAUCCCCUAUGGGGAGUGUCCGCAAAAGCAUUUCUGUUCUAUCAAAUGGUUUAAACUUUAAAGUACAAAAUACGGUGAAAAUUAUAAAAGUGCAUUCUUUUUCUUGAGUGAUA